UCAGACUGAAAAUGGCCUCAGGUGAGACAGUGAUCUGAGGUCAGAUAACAGAGCCCACAGUAUUUGGUAUAUUAACCUUAUCACCUGCUUAUGUGCAUGGUGAUCAAAUAAAUAUCCCAACAGAA